ACCACGGUAGCUCAAUUGGUGAGAGCAUCGCACCCGUAAUGCGAAGACGUGGGUUCGUAUCCCACCUGCGCGCA
rnacentral:tRNA from 1 species